CUUUUUAUGAGGAUGCCUGCUAAAAUAAGCAAAACCCAUCCAUUCUAUGCAUGUAAUUACAUAAUAAUAUCACAUAAUAUUAUUAUGCAACCUAAGAAUUUAAAACUAAUUUCUCUAUAAAAUUUUCAUAGAGACUCUCGUGUAAAAUCUUAGAGUGCACCCAAUGCAUUGAAUCUUUAAUAGGAGGAGAUCACUUAUUGGGUGUCUCCCUUUUAGUGGUCGUGCUGU
rnacentral:lncRNA from 1 species